rnacentral:rRNA from 1 species
UGGGGAAUAUUGGACAAUGGGCGCAAGCCUGAUCCAGCCAUGCCGCGUGUGUGAAGAAGGCCUUAUGGUUGUAAAGCACUUUAAGCGAGGAGGAGGCUACUUUAGAUAAUACCUAGAGAUAGUGGACGUUACUCGCAGAAUAAGCACCGGCUAACUCUGCGCCAG